AUGAAGAGACCUCCUUAGGAUACCCAUUAGGAGAGCAGCCAGGGCAGGGCAGGACACUGUCUAUAGCCCAUCUUUGCUGUUUCUUGGUGGCCCUACUUGCCCUUUAUGACUUGUUUUCUCCAAGGACUGAUUUACUAGGGACUGAGAGCCUUUGCCAUACAGGAUGAAAUUCCAGCUCUUGGCAAACCAGCUGGUGAUACCUGCUUCCCGGAGCAUCUGUGAUAUACCUAGCCCUGUACCAUGGCAGAAGCAAGGCUUUUCUGCUCUUGGAUAAUUUUCUCUGCACUGGGAGAGAUGAGGACAGCUCAUGGAGAGGUGACUUCUUGGGAAAGGAGGAAGGAAGGGUUGGUGAUGAGAAUCUCCCCAGAAGAUGGUGCAUAAAAGUGAGGGGCAAAUCUGUAGAGUGGUGUGCAGUCAGCAACAAGAGCCUCCAAGGCAGAGCAAGAGCCAAACCACCAACGGCAGAGCAUGUCGUGGAGGCAGUCGGGAAUGGACUUCGAAUUCAGCAGCUGCUACCUGGUGGCUUAGAAUGACACUUCCUGAACCCUUUUCUAUUCAGGACCCUUUUUGCUAGUGAAAUUAAAAUGUUUAUUCAUUUAUUUAGUCUAUGUGUGCAUGUGGAGGUCAGAGGGUAACUCUCAAGAGUUGGCUCUUUGCUUCCACCAUGUGGGUCCUGGGCCUUGAAUUCAAGUUGUCAUCCUUGCCGGAAAGCGUCUUUGCCCAUCGAUCCACUUGCUGGACUUGGCUAGAGAAAAUUUUUAUGUGACCUUGGGCAUAUAGGUAUAAAACCAAAUGUUUACUAGAGUAAUAAAU